CAGUUCGCCCUUAAGAAAUAGGCUGCGCUGAAUGAGAAAGUCUUUUUCUAGUUAGACUUCUCAAUGAAAGAACCUAUUUCCUGUCAGAUAUAAAGAAAAUUCCCCUUAUUUACCACUUUAGAAGCUGGGGAGAAAGAUCCAAGUGCAAGCUAUCCAGCAUCCAAUCUAAGGGGAAGUGAACAAGCUUUUUAAAGCGGGUACACUCUUUCUCAAGGUAAGCAGGAGGGGUUGA
rnacentral:lncRNA from 1 species